rnacentral:lncRNA from 1 species
CUGGAAAGAUGCUCGAUUCGUACCAUACAAGUCGUAUAAGCCGAGAAUCUAUCGCGGACUUUAAAUCGGUACGAAUCAGGUAGAAAUCGCAACAGGAAAACCGAUAGCCGGCUAGUCACCGCAUAAACCUUAAAACCGAGAGUAAACCUAGGUCUUGCCCUAAACCCAUCGCAUUGGUCUCAAACAUCUCAAAGACAUGAUAUCUAAAUGAUACGAGAUUCCUAAAACAUGUCUCUUUGUUCAUAACUCAACGUUCCCGAAAAAUCGUGAAUGAUUUCUACGAAAACUCACCUCUCGAACGAACUAACAGAUUGAACCCCUCAACGAAGAUAAAUAUGAGACGACAACUCAUGUUCACUUCAAACCCGCUCUUAAGUAAACCCAAACAGAAUAUAAACCGCAUAGCGGUAGGAGUUCAAAGCCACACUCGGCCAGACAUAUAUGAACAAAGGCCACACUCGGCCGCUAAAUACUAGAUAAAGGGAAAAAAUCUUUCCCGCCAAAACACUCACAGGUCAAAGUUGAAACUCCCGGACAAGGAAGCCCUGAAUGCAUCCGCGGGAAAGUUCACUUCCUCAUCAUCACCAGCAAAAUUAGCCGUAGUCUCUACGGUAUC